rnacentral:misc_RNA from 1 species
CUCGAAUUGGGGAAAUUAUUGAAUCUCUCUGGAAUUGUCCACUUAAAUUUCUUUUUGGUUCAGUAAAGAUCGUGAAACUCUAAAAGAUAACGAUAAUGGCUUCAAAGUGACGAAACACGACGACGGCCACCACCACAAAGACGAGGAGAACGUGCGAUCCACAGCAACGAGCGGUGGCUUCAAAGUGACGAGUUAAUUUAU